UACACCGGGGCGACAGCAAUAUGUAGGUCAAGCUAAAGACUUUACCAGAAUCGCUGAGAGGAGGUGCAUGGCCGUCGUCAGUUCGUACUGUGAAGCAUCCUGUUAAGUCAGGCAACGAGCGAGACCCGUGCCCACUGUUGCCAGCAUGUCCUUCGGGAUGAUGGGUACUCUGUGGGACCGCCGAUGCUAAAUCGGAGGAAGGUGCGGGCUACGGUAGGUCAGUAUGCCCCGAAUCUCCCGGGCUACACGCGGGCUACAAUGACUGGGACAAUGGGCUCCUACCCCGAAAGGGGAUGGUAAUCUCAUAAACCCAGCCUUAGUUCGGAUCGAGGGCUGUAACCCGCCCUCGUGAAGCUGGAAUCCGUAGUAAUCGCGUUUCAACAUAGCGCGGUGAAUACGUCCCCUGCUCCUU
rnacentral:rRNA from 1 species